GGGGUAUUUUGAGCUGAAACUUCACAGACACAUUCAGGGGACACCUUAGACUUAUAUUACAUCUUUUUAAAACAUAAUCUAGGGCACCUUUAAGUAACUGAAACAUUCUAAGAUUAAUCUUGGACAUUUUGAGGAGAGAUUCAGUCAACCUGUUCACAGUAAAUUAAAUAAAAGCAGAAUUGAUGCGGAUAACGACUGUGCCACUUCUGUCAACGUUCAUAGCAGCUGGACAGAUACACUGUUAAUCAAAUUAAAGUUUUCAGCAGCAAAGGAGCUUCUGGACAAAAGAUAUCACACACAUUGCAGUUGCAGACAAGUGCGAAGAUAUACACUUCAAAUGAGACUGUGUCAUAAAGAGUCUGUUUGUGUAUCUCAAUGGGGACUUUACAACACUUCCAGUUUUCCAGAAUUCUUCCAGAAUUCCAGGACUGCAAUCCUGAAGGAACUGAGGGAGGAAUUUCUGAGACCACUCUGGGCCCUUUUGUGACCCUUAAAGAAAGCGCUGAGGAUGAGCCAGUGGAUGUUGGCGUAGCAACAGAGGGUUUAAAACUACUACAACACUUAGGAGUUUUUCCUUCUUGAUGCUGUUUGCUGUUUGGAUUGAUCUACGCAAUCAAGCUAUGCUCCGAGUCUCAAAUUCACUUUUGAAUUCUUCCAGAAGGUACUGAUGAAUUUAGAUUUUAGGACAUCACAUAGAUGUUUUGAUCCACUGGAAGGACUUAGAAACUUUGAAACCUAAGAAACAUUGAAUUGAAGACUAUGAUCGAUGACACUAUGAACCAAUGACACUAACUCAAAUCAAGAGACUAUAUCUAAUGCACCUUCUGGCUUCCUCUAACUCUGAUAUUUUUAAAGGGUUAGUUCACCUAAAAAUGACAUUUCUGUCAUUAAUUACUCACCCUCAUGUUGUUCCACACCCGUAAGACCUUCAUUCAUCUUCAGAACACAAAUUAAGAUAUUUUUGAUGAAAUCCGUGAGCUAUCUGACCUCAGAUAGACUGCAACACUACUACCACUUUCAAGGCCCAGAAAGGUAGUAAAGACAUUGUUAAAAUAGUCAAUGUGACUGCAGUGGUUCAACCUUAAUGUUAUGAAGUGACAAGAAUACUAUUUGAGCGCAAAAAAAAAGACAAAAAACUACUUUCUUCCCUUUUAUGUCAGUCUCCUGCGCAGCUGAGGUUGUACACACAUAAUAUCUUAAUUUGUGUUCUGAAGAUUAAUGAAGGUCUUAGGGGUUUGGAGCAAAAUUGGGGUGAGUAAUUAAUGAAAGAAAUUUAAUUUUUGGGUGAACUAACCCUUUAACAGAGAUGUUAGCCCUUGUGCUAUUCCUUGUCCAGGAAGUUAACUUGUGAGUAGGACACUUGGGCUGCUGAAUGUCUAAAUGCUGAAAUGUGACAGAUAACAGAAAACCUGUUAUAUGUAAAGUCAAAUAUAAUCCCUCAAAUUGCUUUUCUUUUUUCCCCAAGUGUCCUGGUUGUUUUUUUUUUUUUUUUCUUUUUUUUUAUACAUGUUUACAAGGAAUGUAACCAUUUACUUUUAUGUUUCAAGUUUCAGACAAGCAAAAGCACAAACUGACUACCAUACUAUGCAGAGAGAUCCUAAUGUUACCUUGAAUAUUUGAAAAUAAUGCUUGAUGUUGAAAUUUGGUUCCUUGUUGAUCUAUGAACUUUUUGGCACACAGACUUAAAACUAAAAAGUCAAACAAGGAGCCAUAACCAUUGUGUUAGUUUCGGAGAAAGCACAAAACUGCUGUAAAUAUUUGUCUUAACUUGUGAAAUACUGUUCUAUUUUUUUGUCAGAUUGGAUGUUUCUUAUUAUUCCUGCAGCAAUUGAGACAAUACAUUUUUAUGAAUGUAA